CAGUCGCCGCGGUAAUACGUAGGGUGCGAGCGUUAAUCAGAAUUACUGGGCGUAAAGCGGGCGCAGACGGUUACUUAAGCAGGAUGUGAAAUCCCCGGGCUCAACCUGGGAACUGCGUUCUGAACUGGGUGACUAGAGUGUGUCAGAGGGAGGUAGAAUUCCACGUGUAGCAGUGAAAUGCGUAGAGAUGUGGAGGAAUACCGAUGGCGAAGGCAGCCUCCUGGGAUAACACUGACGUUCAUGCCCGAAAGCGUGGGUAGCAAACAGGAUUAGAUACCCGCGUAGUCCCUGUCUCUUAUAA
rnacentral:rRNA from 1 species